rnacentral:tRNA from 1 species
GUUUUUAUAGUUUAAAAAAACAUUGGUCUUGUAAAUCAAAAUUAAGAUUCAAAUCUUUGAAAACU